CUCCCUCACAUCCCCCUCACACCUCUCAGAGCCCCUCUUAUCCCCUCACAGAAUCACAGAAUGGUUCAGGAAGGACAAUUUCAGACUGUCAGAAGGGCAUCCCCAAAGGGGCAGGUAGAGGGCACAGACCUGCAGUAAUGAGUGCAACUGUCUCUCCUUCCCUAAAAGGGGAAAAAAAAAAAGACUGAAAUAAAGAACUGAAAUCUUCUCUCAGCUUUGGCUGUGCUCCCACAGCAUUGACCAGCAACUUCCAUCACCAGUUUCAGGCAGUCUGGACUUGGGAGCCCAGUCUGAUCCAAGCAGCAGUGGGGCAAUACUGGAGCAGGAGAAUAGAUACUCCAUGGUCU